UGGGCGACCGUGACCCUGGUGGAGUCCGGGGGUGACCUCAAGGCCCCGGGGGAGUCCCUGUGGCUCCUCUGCCGCACCUCCGGCUUCACCUUCAGCGACUACGACAUGGUGUGGGUGCGCCAGAGCCCCGGGAAGGGGCUGGAAUGGGUCGCUGGGAUCAGCAAGGAUGGUGGUACCACCAGAUACGCGCCGUCGGUGAAGGGCCGGUUCGCUCUCACCAGGGACAACGGGCAGAGCUCGGUGACGCUGCAGAUGAACAAC